rnacentral:rRNA from 1 species
AGGGCGCACGGUGGAUGCCUUGGCACUAGAAGCCGAUGAAGGACGUUACUAACGACGAUAUGCUUUGGGGAGCUGUAAGUAAGCUUUGAUCCAGAGAUUUCCGAAUGGGGAAACCCAGCAUGAGUUAUGUCAUGUUAUCGAUAUGUGAAUACAUAGCAUAUCAGAAGGCACACCCGGAGAACUGAAACAUCUUAGUACCCGGAGGAAGAGAAAGAAAAUUCGAUUCCCUUAGUAGCGGCGAGCGAAACGGGAAGAGCCCAAACCAACAAGCUUGCUUGUUGGGGUUGUAGGACACUCUAUACGGAGUUACAAAGGACGACAUUAGACGAAUCAUCUGGAAAGAUGAAUCAAAGAAGGUAAUAAUCCUGUAGUCGAAAAUGUUGUCUCUCUUGAGUGGAUCCUGAGUACGACGGAGCACGUGAAAUUCCGUCGGAAUCUGGGAGGACCAUCUCCUAAGGCUAAAUACUCUCUAGUGACCGAUAGUGAACCAGUACCGUGAGGGAAAGGUGAAAAGCACCCCGGAAGGGGAGUGAAAUAGAACCUGAAACCGUGUGCUUACAAGUAGUCAGAGCCCGUUAAUGGGUGAUGGCGUGCCUUUUGUAGAAUGAACCGGCGAGUUACGAUUUGAUGCAAGGUUAAGCAGUAAAUGUGGAGCCGUAGCGAAAGCGAGUCUGAAUAGGGCGUUUAGUAUUUGGUCGUAGACCCGAAACCAGGUGAUCUACCCUUGGUCAGGUUGAAGUUCAGGUAACACUGAAUGGAGGACCGAACCGACUUACGUUGAAAAGUGAGCGGAUGAACUGAGGGUAGCGGAGAAAUUCCAAUCGAACCUGGAGAUAGCUGGUUCUCUCCGAAAUAGCUUUAGGGCUAGCCUCAAGUGAUGAUUAUUGGAGGUAGAGCACUGUUUGGACGAGGGGCCCCUCUCGGGUUACCGAAUUCAGACAAACUCCGAAUGCCAAUUAAUUUAACUUGGGAGUCAGAACAUGGGUGAUAAGGUCCAUGUUCGAAAGGGAAACAGCCCAGACCACCAGCUAAGGUCCCAAAAUAUAUGUUAAGUGGAAAAGGAUGUGGCGUUGCCCAGACAACUAGGAUGUUGGCUUAGAAGCAGCCAUCAUUUAAAGAGUGCGUAAUAGCUCACUAGUCGAGUGACACUGCGCCGAAAAUGUACCGGGGCUAAACAUAUUACCGAAGCUGUGGAUUGUCCUUUGGACAAUGGUAGGAGAGCGUUCUAAGGGCGUUGAAGCAUGAUCGUAAGGACAUGUGGAGCGCUUAGAAGUGAGAAUGCCGGUGUGAGUAGCGAAAGACGGGUGAGAAUCCCGUCCACCGAUUGACUAAGGUUUCCAGAGGAAGGCUCGUCCGCUCUGGGUUAGUCGGGUCCUAAGCUGAGGCCGACAGGCGUAGGCGAUGGAUAACAGGUUGAUAUUCCUGUACCACCUAUAAUCGUUUUAAUCGAUGGGGGGACGCAGUAGGAUAGGCGAAGCGUGCGAUUGGAUUGCACGUCUAAGCAGUAAGGCUGAGUAUUAGGCAAAUCCGGUACUCGUUAAGGCUGAGCUGUGAUGGGGAGAAGACAUUGUGUCUUCGAGUCGUUGAUUUCACACUGCCGAGAAAAGCCUCUAGAUAGAAAAUAGGUGCCCGUACCGCAAACCGACACAGGUAGUCAAGAUGAGAAUUCUAAGGUGAGCGAGCGAACUCUCGUUAAGGAACUCGGCAAAAUGACCCCGUAACUUCGGGAGAAGGGGUGCUCUUUAGGGUUAACGCCCAGAAGAGCCGCAGUGAAUAGGCCCAAGCGACUGUUUAUCAAAAACACAGGUCUCUGCUAAACCGUAAGGUGAUGUAUAGGGGCUGACGCCUGCCCGGUGCUGGAAGGUUAAGAGGAGUGGUUAGCUUCUGCGAAGCUACGAAUCGAAGCCCCAGUAAACGGCGGCCGUAACUAUAACGGUCCUAAGGUAGCGAAAUUCCUUGUCGGGUAAGUUCCGACCCGCACGAAAGGCGUAACGAUUUGGGCACUGUCUCAACGAGAGACUCGGUGAAAUCAUAGUACCUGUGAAGAUGCAGGUUACCCGCGACAGGACGGAAAGACCCCGUGGAGCUUUACUGUAGCCUGAUAUUGAAAUUCGGCACAGCUUGUACAGGAUAGGUAGGAGCCUUUGAAACGUGAGCGCUAGCUUACGUGGAGGCGCUGGUGGGAUACUACCCUAGCUGUGUUGGCUUUCUAACCCGCACCACUUAUCGUGGUGGGAGACAGUGUCAGGCGGGCAGUUUGACUGGGGCGGUCGCCUCCUAAAAGGUAACGGAGGCGCUCAAAGGUUCCCUCAGAAUGGUUGGAAAUCAUUCAUAGAGUGUAAAGGCAUAAGGGAGCUUGACUGCGAGACCUACAAGUCGAGCAGGGUCGAAAGACGGACUUAGUGAUCCGGUGGUUCCGCAUGGAAGGGCCAUCGCUCAACGGAUAAAAGCUACCCCGGGGAUAACAGGCUUAUCUCCCCCAAGAGUUCACAUCGACGGGGAGGUUUGGCACCUCGAUGUCGGCUCAUCGCAUCCUGGGGCUGUAGUCGGUCCCAAGGGUUGGGCUGUUCGCCCAUUAAAGCGGUACGCGAGCUGGGUUCAGAACGUCGUGAGACAGUUCGGUCCCUAUCCGUCGUGGGCGUAGGAAAUUUGAGAGGAGCUGUCCUUAGUACGAGAGGACCGGGAUGGACAUACCUCUGGUGUACCAGUUGUCGUGCCAACGGCAUAGCUGGGUAGCUAUGUGUGGACGGGAUAAGUGCUGAAAGCAUCUAAGCAUGAAGCCCCCCUCAAGAUGAGAUUUCCCAACUUCGGUUAU